UACGUAGGGUGCAAGCGUUUGUCCGGAAUUAUUGGGCGUAAAGAGCUCGUAGGCGGUCUGUCGCGUCUGCUGUGAAAACUCAGGGCUUAACCCUGAGCUUGCAGUGGGUACGGGCAGACUAGAGUGCGGUAGGGGAGACUGGAAUUCCUGGUGUAGCGGUGAAAUGCGCAGAUAUCAGGAGGAACACCCGUGGCGAAGGCGGCUCUCUGGGACGGUACUGACGCU
rnacentral:rRNA from 1 species